CCGAAUCGCUGCACGCCCCGUGGACGUUCGCGUACGCAAACAGCCUGACUGACGUCACUUCUAGAUCCGUGGGACGCUCGUGCUCGUAUCCCUCGUGACGCGUGACAAGUUUCCUUUAUAACGGGCAACGUUUCGAAAAGGGAGUCGAAAGGGGAGCUCGAUGAAAGCCGCGACCACGACCACGAGGCCGCAACAACGCCACAGUACCACGCUAAUGUGCUCGUCAACUUUUACGAGAUCGUGCCGGCUAAUACGCUAGAAAGUCUCUCGACGGUUAAUGGGUCCGACCAACGAAACACAGAAAAGGAACACGGUAAAUGCCUGCUUUGAGUAUUCGUACGUCCUUAAUUGCUCGUUUUUGCACUACGAUUUAGCCGUAGGAUCGAAGGUAACGUUCGUAGAAAUCCAACGUUUCAACCGAGUGUGUGAAACGCCUUCUCAAGUCUACGAAUUUCGACAAUUUCGACCGUCGUCGUUUUACGAAACAUUCGGCCGCGUGAUUUAUCACGGUGCAUAUAGUUGAACAUAGGGGACAUUAAUUGCCAUUUUUAAUCGGCCUCGCACUAUGUUCACGAGGUAUGCCGUAAUAUCAUUCUACCAGGUGAAGUGCUUUCUUGAUGGGAUUCGUUCCGGUGUUUCGAAAUUUGCGAUGAUCACUGGUCGUUCAUUAUGCUUCAAAAAUUCCCGUGGUUUCGACUUGGCGUGACGAAAGAAACAACAUUUUAUUCUGCUCUGUACUCACGUGUCAACUAAUUCUUUAUAAGCCAUAAACCACUCUAAGAAUAAAAUGACGGCAGUGGCAUUUAACCGACUACUCGAAAGUAUGCGGUACCUUGCAAAGAUUUUGAACCACGCGAGGAAAGAAACUAUUCUCACACCGAUGACUCAUCCUUGCAUUUUGAUCGUCAAAUUACGAAAGCCUUGGCCGGCUAAGAUGUCAAAACGUCGUUCGAUCGACGAGGAUGAGCUCGACCGAUUCUCAAGGCGUUUUAUUUUUCGUUGCGUAAAUAGACCUUCGGACAUCCUGAACGCAGAAAUCGAGCCGCUGUUGAAUGUGCAGCGAGUGCCACAACGGGUCGGCCAGCUCUGCUCGCGUAUAUGGUAUCCACGCACGAUCGGAAUUUUCCGAUAGCCACCAAGCGGCGAUUUAUGGACGCGCGAGGAAACGGACGCGAGCCGUUAUACACGGCCUCGAGUCGAACCUGGAAAGGGGAGGCUCGACAUUCGAAGCCUAUGCUCAAUAUCUGCUUGUAUUAUAUCGCUGGCAGCUGCGGCCGCAAACCGAUCAACUGCAAGGAAACCGAGGGUGCCUUCUUAAGGACUCGAAUGCUUCUACUUGCUUACAAAUCCUUGCUUCAGGUUUCAAGAUCGCUGAGAUUUUCGAUUAUUAUAAUUUUUCGUUCGAUAUCAUCGAAACCGAAUGCUGAAGGUAACGUAUCAGCAAGUGUAUUAACCAUCCACGUUUUCAUCCAUAAAACCAGUAUGAAUCUGUUCGACGAAUCAGCCUGAAGCUACCAGAGAAAACUACCAUAGAAAAUAAAUCGUAUAGCAAAGUGACCACAUAUUUAUCUCGGAGAAGAGUCACAUAUGGUGCCCCAUUGAACGUUACAAACAUGUAUGCCCACGAGACCCGCGGCACGGCUCCGACAAAUUGCCAAUCGGCAGUCAGCGAACGGGUGCUCCUCGAGCAGAGAAGUGUUCUCGCGGCGUUUCGAGCGACGAACACGGUGACUAUAGGACAACGAUGCCCCGGGGCAAGGACUACGGGUUGCGACCCCAAUCGCAUUCGGACUCCGCUUUGUGCAGGUGUGCGUGGUCAUUAAUCCAGAAAUGGAAGUGAAUGCGGGUCCAAAUGCUAGCCAGAAGCAGACUGGAGCGCAGCGUCGUUGCACGCUUGUCUCUUCUUUUCCUUUAUAUCCUUCUUGCGACGCUUUUUUCUCUCGUAGUUGGUGAUACACUUAAUAAAGAAGAGGCGUGGCCCGUGCCCCAGACCGAACUAUUUCGCGGUCCCAAACGGUUUAAACGCGCUAUAUCGCGUGGCUAUUUUACGCGAGCAAACGUAACAACUUUUUACCGCUGCCUAAGUAACUGCUAGUUCUCCGGUGGCCAUUAAGGUCUCAUAGGAUCGUUUCGGGAACCAGUCCUUUUUUUGCGUCGUACCGUUUCGGGGCACGGGCUAUCGGAACAAGGUAAUUCCGCGCGUUCUACGACCGCGUUAAGCGCAAGGAGUACUACAAUCUGUUCCAUACAUUCUCGAAAUGCUCUUCUUUUUUACAAUAUUACCAUCUCUAUUUGAUAUUUACACGAAACGUAAUGAAAUUUGUAAAAAAGAUUCACUCGUCGAGUUAAAUGCACCUGCAGGCUUUUAAUAAUCGUAGAAGCAAAAGAUCUAAAUCCUGUCACUUUCAAUAAUUAGCUGAAAUUAAUCUUUCGUACAGCAUAGAAAUAUUUGCAUAUUCUUGUAUUUAUUACAAUAUUCAAUGAAGUCCAAAUAUAUGAAAUUUUCUAUACCUAGUCGAGUUGUAUCACUAACGAUCCAGACACUUAUCCUAGUAGCAAUGCAGCUCGGUUAAUCGGUUGCGUUCGCAAGGACGCGAGCUAUCGCUUGUAUAGCCUUGACUCGUUCGUAAAACGCGGAUUGCUAAGCAAAUCGAUCUUCUAUAGAAUGGCUAGGGUUGGUGGGCUCGUCCGCAGGCGGUAUGUAGAAAAAAUCGUCCAUAAUUAACCCAUAAAGCAAGCGCAAUCGCCGGAGAUCUCCGUGGUUUUAUCCAUAAGCGAGAGAGCGCAGCCACUUUCCAGCCACGACUGUUCCAUGAUACUAUUAUAGGUGUAUGCAGGAUCGUGCACCUGUGCACGCGCGCGCAUAGAGACAGGCGAUAGCCGAUAGUGUUGCUUUCCUUCGCCUUUGGUUCAUAAUGUGUAAUUCUACGGUGUUGCGAGCGCUGGAAUUUUAAACGCGCCACUCGAAUGCC